CUCCAGACUCCUACGGGAGGCAGCAGUGGGGAAUAUUGCACAAUGGGGGAAACCCUGAUGCAGCGACGCCGCGUGAGCGAUGAAGUAUUUCGGUAUGUAAAGCUCUAUCAGCAGGGAAGAAAAUGACGGUACCUGACUAAGAAGCCCCGGCUAACUACGUGCCAGCAGCCGCGGUAAUACGUAGGGGGCAAGCGUUAUCCGGAUUUACUGGGUGUAAAGGGGGCGCAGACGGCAGCGCAAGCCAGGAGUGAAAGCCCGGGGCCCAACCCCGGGACUGCUCUUGGAACUGCGCGGCUGGAGUGCAGGAGGGGCAGGCGGAAUUCCUGGUGUAGCGGUGAAAUGCGUAGAUAUCAGGAGGAACACCGGUGGCGAAGGCGGCCUGCUGGACUGCGACUGACGUUGAGGCCCGAAAGCGUGGGGAGCAAACAGGAUUAGAUACCCUCGUAUA
rnacentral:rRNA from 1 species